GUCGUUUAAAAUCGAGGUUGCCCUGCCUCUCUCACACCAUCCAGAUGCUCCAUUCAGACAAACUGCUCAGUUCGGUGACAAAAUGUGUUGAUGAGUUUAUCAAUCGGUGCUUAGGCUAGACUCGCUCUAAUUUACUGAGAUUGACUGACUGGUAAGGCAGCCCAGAACUGAGUAGGAUCUAAAGGAAAGCUUAGCUAUUAAGGACAGACCAGAGAAGUUUUGUGUGGAGGCUAAGAGGAAGCACCAAGAGCUUUAGGCAGCUGGGACCCAUGCUGUCUUGGUGGAAGAAGAUUUAGAACUCUGUCUCUCAGAAGACGUAGUCUCCAACUGGGUGGCCUUACCCUUGGAGGCAAGGACCUGGGUAGAUUGUACCCUUUUCUCUUAGAAAAAAAUCUACAUUCCCUUUCACAAAAAGUUGUCCAUGUUAGUCUGAGAGGGCCACAGAAUCGCAGACACUCAGCCACAACCCCCUGGAUGUCCCAGGUCAAAACUAAAGGUUUCAAAGAGACAAACGACUCAUCGGUAAAAGAAGACAUCUAG
rnacentral:lncRNA from 1 species